GACGAACGCUGGCGGCGUGCCUAAUACAUGCAAGUCGAACACUUUUUCUUUCACCGGAGCUUGCUCCACCGAAAGAAAAAGAGUGGCGAACGGGUGAGUAACACGUGGGUAACCUGCCCAUCAGAAGGGGAUAACACUUGGAAACAGGUGCUAAUACCGUAUAACACUAUUUUCCGCAUGGAAGAAAGUUGAAAGGCGCUUUUGCGUCACUGAUGGAUGGACCCGCGGUGCAUUAGCUAGUUGGUGAGGGAACGGCUCACCAAGGCAACGAUGCAUAGCCGACCUGAGAGGGUGAUCGGCCACACUGGGACUGAGACACGGCCCAGACUCCUACGGGAGGCAGCAGUAGGGAAUCUUCGGCAAUGGACGAAAGUCUGACCGAGCAACGCCGCGUGAGUGAAGAAGGUUUUCGGAUCGUGAAACUCUGUUGUUAGAGAAGAACAAGGAUGAGAGUAGAACGUUCAUCCCUUGACGGUAUCUAACCAGAAAGCCACGGCUAACUACGUGCCAGCCGCCGCUGUAAUAC
rnacentral:rRNA from 1 species